GAUGUCUGCAAAAUUAACAGCCACAUAAUUCUGUGUUGUAUAUAUAAUUAAAACCAUUCAUAAAAUUGGAAGUCAUAAACUUGUUGAUGUAAUUACGUACCCUUCGCCACCAGUUGUCGAGCCAUGGUUGAAGUAGGGAUAAAGAGAGUGGAAGCCAGGAGAAUGCAUACCAUCACUAAUAAUGCUUUCAUUUUGGGGGGUAUAUUGUUGUUGUUAAUAGUAGGUAGUUUGUGUUAAGGAUGGCCCUUCUUUCGACUACUAUUUAUAGGUCGAUAUCUCAAGUGUGUUGUGGCUACUUUUCAAAGAUAAUUUGUUAAUAAAUUAUUAUUCACUCUAUAAAACUAGCAAAAUUGACAAAGGGAGGACUGAAGAAAUUUCCACGGCAGGCAAUGGGUAAUAGCUAUUGUCCCUUUCAGUUUCACUUUCUGUCUUUUUAUGACCCAUAUUUCCACACACAAAUCAAAUUUGUAGCUGUUGUCGCUUUCAUUAUUCUCUCACUUGGAAAAUUAGAAACAUUGUUAGUGAUGGACUUUAUGGAUUGAACAGGUAAGGAGAAAAUUUAUUCGUAAAAUUUAUGUUUACCGAUACAUAUAAGGUAUAAAAAUAUAAUUUGUUGGAUCGCAUUUAUAUUUAUUGGGUCUAGUAAUAAAGAGUUUGAUGUGUUUUUAGGUUUGGAUUUUAUGGAUGAAAAAACCAAUACCGAAAAAAUUUUACCCUCUAUUUCAGAACUCAAUUUAAUGAAAAAAAUCUUGUUCAACAACAAUUAUUUUAGAAAGAAAAUAGACUUUUAUUAUACACUUGAUAAAUUGAUUUUUAAUUUCCAAUGAUUUGAUUUUAAUUUUUCUUAUAAUAUUUAUAAUAUAUGAAAAUAUAAUUUAUUUGAUGGCUCUUAUUAUACAGUUGAUAUCAACUUUUAAUAUGCAACUAUUUAAUUUUAACUACAAUUCAAUUUUGUCAAUGAAAGAUAGCAACAUUCACCCUAAGUCUCAAAGGUUGUAUGUUAGAUCAUGAUAAUAUGGACAAAUAUAUUAAUUACCGAGUACUAUACCAACAACAAAUAAGAAGCAAACAUAGGACUAUGAGGUAUUACUUAUCUCUCAUCUUUACCUUUUUCAUUAAGUUAUAUACUUUUACUCUCUCCAUAAUUAUGGAGAACAAUCAAAGCGUCAAAACCGACACCCCUUAAUUUACCCUUGAGUCGUGCAGAUCGAGUCAAACCCCUUGAAGCACCUCAACAAGCCUGAUUUACAACAAUUCAAAGAAGACUAAUAUUUGGGGCUACCUUUGAGAACGAAGCGAAAAUCCAUGGCUUAAUCUUCCCAACUCGAUAAGCUUCAAAAAUAUUUUUGAAGUUUUUGACAAGUUCAUACUUUUUCCAAUGGAGAUUUCAGUUUCAUAAAAUUUCACAAAUACAUUUAUCUCCAUCUUUUUGGUUUAUCGAAAGUUCCUCCAUUUUUAGUUCCAUAAAACUUUCAUAUUUGGGUUUCAUAAAGUUUCCCAAACACAUUUAUCUCCAUUGUUUGGUUUAUUGAAAGUUCCUACAAAAGAGUUUCUUAAAUUUCUCAUCUUUGGGUUCAAAAAGUUUUCUAAGCAAAUUCAAUCAAUCUCUAUUUUUUGGGCUUAUUGAAGCUUCUACCUUUAAACUUGAUUUUUGGGUUUCUUAAAGCUUUCAUCUUCGGGUUUUAUUUAGCUUCCCAAGCACAUUCAUCUCUAUAUUUCGGGUUUAUUAGAGCCAUUUUUUAUUUCUUAAAGUUUUUUAUCUUUGGUUUCCAUGAAGUUUACCAAGCACAUUUGGUCUCCAUUUAUGACUUUCUUGAAGCAUCCUCCGUUUUUGGGUUUCUUAAAGCUACCUUCAUAGUUGGGUUUCCUACAGCUUUUCCAAUAUACUUUACAAUCGCGUCUGUAGCACAGAUUUUGCAAUCAAAAUUUCGUAGUCCAUCUGCAAUUACGAUUCUGUAGCACAGUAGCAAUGAUUCUAUAGUCCAAAUUCUGUAGGCACGAUCUACAGUCACGUCUAUAGUCUAGUUUCUUCAGUCACGAUUGUAUCAAGAUUCUGCAGUCACGUUUGUAAUCUGCAGUGAUAUCUGUAGUCCAGAUUCUAACCACGAUUUUGUAGUACAUAUUUUGAGGUUAUGAUUAUGAGCUUAUCAUUUUAAGGGUGAGUUUGGAUGGGCGGUGCGUUUAUCUGCGGUUAGUGUAAAAACAGCGGUGGCGGUAAAAUUAGAUACUGUAGCGAUACUGUAACGUGAGACAAAAAGUAAGCUAAACGCACCGCACUGCACUCAAUCGCCCAUCUAAACCCACCUAAGGCUACUCUUAGACUAUAUAGAAAAACUCAUAUCAAACUUCUGAUACCAACUUAAAUGGUAGAAGACCAAAAAUUCAAAUUUCAAAAACGUUAAUAAUUGAAUAAAAAAAUUUUAAUUGACUGAUCAAAAUAAAAAUACUCUCAUGAACUUCAUGUAGCUUACCUAAUAAAAAUACUAGAAAGAUAGGAAGGUUGAAAUUUAUAACAAAGCAACUCCAAAAUCAAACAUCACAUGAACGUACAAGCAGUUUGGAGGUAGCUUGAAUUAUCAAAAGAAACUCUUCCAGAGGAAGACUUUGAUUUCGAUACAUGGGAUGGUAAUUGAAAGCCUUAGGAAGCCAAUGAUGAUGAGCUCAUGAUAACUCGUUAUUGCAGACACACUACAUAUGAUGAAACAAACUACAUAAUAGUCUUGAAAAAAACACAAAUCAUGGGCAGGUAAUGCAACUUCAUGAUCUGGUUUUUAUAUAUUCGCAUUACAAUUUCGCCAAUGGAUCCUAUAGCUUGCCCAUUACAUUCAAGGUUUAGUUGGCUACUCUUAGCAGUUGUGGCUAUAAAAACAGGGUGAGUUCAUAGAAGGAGUUCCAGGUCCGCAGUAUUUAUAAGACUUUCCACGGCCACAAUUUCGAGGUUCAUUAUGUUCACCCGCCGUAGCAGUGGUAAACACUGGUGGAUCAUUGAUGUCUGCAAAAUUAACAGCCAUAUAUUUCCCAUUUUAUUUAAAUAUAAGGCUAAAGUGCUAUAUAAGCGGAUAAAGGUAUAUAAGCCCUUGAACUUUUGCAAAAAAAUCAAUUAAGCCCUCCGCAGAAAACGUACUCAAUUAAGUCUUCAAACUCUCAAAUUGCAUCAAAUUUUUAUUUAUAAUUUUGAUAAAUUUUAAUAAUAUUAUUUAUUUAUUUAUAAUUUUAAAACAUAAAAUUUAUAAUUUUUUAAAAAUUUUAAGUCAAAAUCAAAUUGGGCAAGCAUUUGUCCAGGUCAUUCUAGUAAUUUUUCUUUUUACUUUUUUUGAAUUUUUUAUUUUUCAAAAAAAAUUUUAUUUUUAUUUUGUUGAUGUCAGCAACUGUCAUUGACAUGGAGCGCCAUGUGAGCGCUAUUGAUGGUCACAUCAAUACUGUAACGGUUAAAGAUGAUCAAAGGACUUAAUUGAUGCAAUUUGAGAAUUUGAAGGUUUAAUUGUAUACACUUUUUACGGAGGGGCUUGUUGAUUUUUUCGCAAAAGUUCAAGUGCUUAUAUACUUUUAGCCUAUAUAUAAUUAAAACCAUCCAUAUGUAAAAAAAACUUAAUAGAAUUGAAUAAUCAACACAACACAUCCAAGUUCUUAUCCAUAUAAUGUUUAACAUUUUGAUUGUGAUUCAACUUUACUAUACUAAUGUUAUACAUAUUGCUUUAAGAUGGAAAAUAAAUGAAAAAUAGAAUAAAAGUGUUAAAUUUGUUGGAAAUGUGACUUAUCCUUCUAGAUAAGUUAUAAAAAAAAAUCAAUAUAAUCAGACAUGCAAAACACUCAAAUUCUAAACUAUUUAAUAAUAAUUUGACUAGUUAUUGUAUGCGUAUACAUGUAAAUAUAUUGCUUGAUUAUAUAAAAUAAAAUUGGAGAUUUCUAUAGAAGUAAUAAACUUGUUGAUGUGAUUACUUACCCUUCUCCCCCAGAUGUCGAGCAAUGGUGAAAGUAGGGAUAAAAAGAGUGGAAGCCAGGAGAAUGCAUACCAUCACUAAUAAUGCUUUCAUUUUGGGGGGUAUAUUGUUGUUAUUAA
rnacentral:lncRNA from 1 species